rnacentral:sRNA from 1 species
UCAUGUGACGUUCACAAAUUUAAAGUGCGAAACACGAGACGAAAAAUGUUGUAACUUUUAGAAAUGUUUCAUAAAAGCUGUGAACCGUACUCUUAAGUACAUCGAUAUUCGUGUAAUUCUGUAUCAAAAAGCGAAUAAUGUCACGAUAUUACUAUUGACGUUUGCAAGAUCCUUAAAAAUCACAACAGUCGGUUGUAAAAAAGAUGUAUGAAAUUUACAAGAAUAGCUCCAACAUCAAUCACACAUGUCAAUAUGAAAACGACAUUAUUGUGGACCACGUUUGGACUGGAAAACUAGAGUCAGAUAUUGUGAAAUACAUUCUUAUGAUUGAUGGCGAUUACCCCACAUAUUCCGAAUGGUCUGUUUACAAUGUUGGUCGUGCAUUUAUAAAUAUAUA